CAGUGCAGCGCGGGCUCUUGGAAGGAAGUGCCAUCCACAGGACCGGAUCAGAGGCUGUGUAGACCGUCCCCCUUCGACCCCUGCCGCAGGACAACCGUCAGGCCACGGACACAGGGGCAGAAACACAACCACCACAGCGGAGUCCGGUGGGGACAGGACACAGAAGCCAGCGUGGACACGGAGUAGACACAGAGUGGACACGGAGCACACGGACACGACAGGCCAGCCCUACGCUCCUAGGACGUCUGAUUGAACCUGCCACAACUGACGACCACUCCCCAGCCUUACACCCGGCCCUACUCCAUCCUCCUAAGACGGGGUGGGGGGGUCCUCUGCCACCCAGAUAUCUCCCCCCGACCCCUAGCCCCUCUCCACUCUCUCCUACUGCCCGGGCCACCUUGAGUGGGACCUGACGGUCAGCAGGAGGGGGGUCUCUGCCACCCAGAUAUCUCCCCCCGACCCCCCAGCCCCUCUCCACUCUCUCCUACUGCCCGGGCCACCUUGAGUGGGACCUGCCGGUCAGCAGGAGCUGGGAGACGGCCCCCAGCCUGACAGGCGGAGUCUGCCAAGCGGGGGUGGGAUGCCCGUCCACCCCCCAGCUCCUCGGGAGAUGAACCCUGCAUUCGCCACCCCUCUCCCCCAUCCCGGGUGGGGGGUCCGAAGGCCCCGGACAGCAGGCCCCGGCCCCCACGGGACGCUUUGACUAGGCGGCGUGGGCACAAA